GGCACUCGUGGCCUAGUGUAUAAGGUGAUCGACUGGAGAUCAAAAGGUCGUUGGUUCGAUCACCAGCUUCACUGGGAGUCG